rnacentral:rRNA from 1 species
AGAGUUUGAUUAUGGCUCAGGAUUAACGCUGGCGGCGUGCCUAAUACAUGCAAGUCGAAUGGUAGCAAUACCAUGGCGAACGGGUGAGUAACACGUAGGUAACCUGUCUUUAAGCCGAGGAUAACCAUUGGAAACGAUGGAUAAUACUGGAUAGGACAUUUGAAGGCAUCUUUAGAUGUUUAAAGAUUUAUCACUUAGAGAGGGGCCUGCGGCGCAUUAGCUAGUUGGUGAGGUGAAGGCUUACCAAGGCGAUGAUGCGUAGCCGGACUGAGAGGUUGAACGGCCACAAUGGAACUGAGAACGGUCCAUACUCCUACGGGAGGCAGCAGUAGGGAAUUUUCGGCAAUGGGCGGAAGCCUGACCGAGCAACGCCGCGUGAACGAAGAAGUAUUUCGGUAUGUAAAGUUCUUUUAUUAGGGACGAAAAGACAGAUUGACGGUACCUAAUGAAUAAGCUCCGGCUAACUACGUGCCAGCCGCGGC